rnacentral:rRNA from 1 species
CUCCAGUUGAUCGCAUGGUCUUCUGGGAAAGCUUUCGCGGUAUGGGAUGGGGUCGCGUCCUAUCAGCUUGACGGCGGGGUAACGGCCCACCGUGGCUUCGACGGGUAGCCGGCCUGAGAGGGCGACCGGCCACAUUGGGACUGAGAUACGGCCCAGACUCCUACGGGAGGCAGCAGUGGGGAAUAUUGCACAAUGGGCGCAAGCCUGAUGCAGCGACGCCGCGUGAGGGAUGGAGGCCUUCGGGUUGUAAACCUCUUUUAUCGGGGAGCAAGCGAGAGUGAGUUUACCCGUUGAAUAAGCACCGGCUAACUACGUGCCAGCAGCCGCGGUAAUACGUAGGGUGCAAGCGUUAUCCGGAAUUAUUGGGCGUAAAGGGCUCGUAGGCGGUUCGUCGCGUCCGGUGUGAAAGUCCAUCGCUUAACGGUGGAUCCGCGCCGGGUACGGGCGGG